rnacentral:rRNA from 1 species
CCUACGGGUGGCAGCAGUGAGGAAUAUUGGUCAAUGGGCGCGAGCCUGACCCAGCCAAGUCGCGUGAGGGAUGACUGCCCUACGGGUUUUAAACUUCUUUUAUAAAGGAAUAAAGUCAGGCACGUGUUCCUUUUUGUAUUUACUUUAUCAAUAAGGAUCGGCUAACUCCGUGCCAGCAGCCGCGGUAAUACGGAGGAUCCGAGCGUUAUCCGGAUUUAUUGGGUUUAAAGGGAGCGUAGAUGGGUUGUUAAGUCAGUUGUGAAAGUUUGGGGCUCAACCGUAAAAUUGCAAUUGAUACUGGCAGACUGGAGUAUAGUAGAGGUAAGUGGAAUUCGUGGUGUAGCGGUGAAAUGCUUAGAUAUCAGGAAGAACUCC